rnacentral:rRNA from 1 species
GUACCGGACGAAUAACCACCGGCUAACUUCGUGCCCACACCCUCGGUAAUACUAAGGGUGCAAGCGUUACUCGGAAUUACUGGGCGUAAAGGGUGCGUAAGCGGUUGUUUAAGUCUGCUGUGAAAUCCCCGGGCUCAACCUGGGAAUGGCAGUGGAUACUGGAGAGCUUGAGUGCGGUAAAGGGUAGUGGAAUUCCCGGUGUAGCAGUGAAAUGCGUAAAGAUCGGGAGGAACACCAGUGGCGAAGGCGGCUACCUGGACCAGCACUGACACUGAAGCACAAAAACCUGGGGAGCAAACACGAUUAAAUACCCUGGUAGUCCACGCCCUAAACGAUGCGAACUGGAUGUUGGGAGCAACUUGGCUCUCACUGUCGAAGCUAACGCGUUAAGUACGCCGCCUGGGGAGUACGGUCGCA